CCUACGGGAGGCAGCAGUGAGGAAUAUUGGUCAAUGGGCGCAAGCCUGAACCAGCCAUGUAGCGUGCAGGAUGACUGCCCUACGGGUUGUAAACUUCUUUUGUAAGGGGGUAAACUCAGACACGUGUACCUUUUUGUAAGUACUUUAUGAAUAGGGAUCGGCUAACUCCGUGCCAGCAGCCGCGGUAAUACGGAGGAUGCAAGCGUUAUCCGGAUUUAUUGGGUUUAAAGGGUGCGUAGGCGGAUUGAUAAGUUAGAGGUGAAAUCCCCGAGCUGAACUUGGGAAUUGCCUCUGAUACUGUUGGGCUAGAGAGUAGUUGCGGUAGGCGGAAUGCAUGGUGUAGCGGUGAAAUGCUUAGAGAUCAUACAGAACACCGAUUGCGAAGGCAGCUUACCAAGCUACAUCUGACGUUGAGGCACGAAAGCGUGGGGAGCAAACAGGAUUAGAUACCCCAGUAGUC
rnacentral:rRNA from 1 species